rnacentral:rRNA from 1 species
AGAGUUUGAUCCUGGCUCAGGAUGAACGCUAGCGGCAGGCUUAACACAUGCAAGUCGAGGGGCAGCGGGUCCAGCAAUGGAUGCCGGCGACCGGCGAAAGGGUGAGUAACGCGUGAGCAACAUGCCCGACACUGGGGGAUAGUCGAUGGAAACGUCGCGUAAUACCCCGUAACACAAGGGACCGCAUGAUCCUUUGUUGAAAGAUUCAUUGGUGUCGGAUUGGCUCGCGUGCCAUUAGGUAGACGGCGGGUAACGGCCCACCGUGCCGACGAUGGCUAGGGGUUCUGAGAGGAAGGUCCCCCACAUUGGAACUGAGACACGGUCCAGACUCCUACGGGAGGCAGCAGUGAGGAAUAUUGGACAAUGGCCGGAAGGCUGAUCCAGCCAUGCCGCGUGCGGGAUGACGGCCCUAUGGGUUGUAAACCGCUUUUGCCGGGGAGCAAUAAGGCCCACGUGUGGGCCGACGAGAGUACCCGGCGAAUAAGCAUCGGCUAACUCCGUGCC